rnacentral:misc_RNA from 1 species
GAAAUGCGAUAACUAAUGUGAAUUGCAGAAUUCAGUGAAUCAUCGAGUCUUUGAACGCACAUUGCGCCCCCUGGUAUUCCGGGGGGCAUGCCUGUCCGAGCGUCAUUGCUGCCCUCAAGCCCGGCUUGUGUGUUGGGCCCUCGUCCCCCGGCUCCCGGGGGACGGGCCCGAAAGGCAGCGGCGGCACCGCGUCCGGUCCUCGAGCGUAUGGGGCUUCGUCUUCCGCUCCGUAGGCCCGGCCGGCGCCCGCCGACGCAUUUAUUUGCAACUUGUUUUUUUCCAGGUUGACCUCGGAUCAGGAAGGGAUACCCGCUGAACUUAAGC